AAACUGCUCUACAGUUCACAGAAGCUCUUGCUUAGCUAUACACGCAGUGAUUCCGAGAGAGAAUUUGAGAAGUUUAGAGAUCCAGAUCGAAUACCCCUUUCUCUUUGGGUGAAUGUAAUAAUGGAGAGUUUUAUCUCCGUUUCCUCUGAAUCAAAUUCAGAGGAGAUCAAUCGUUCUUCAUCUUAUAUGCCGAAGAAGAUUCCUGGGGAGUCCAUUGGCCAAAUGGAAAUAAUUUCUGCCUUCCGGCGGUGUCCACUGGCUUGGGGGCGUCCAUUGCGUUGAGGGCUCCUCAUCAUCAUUCACCUUCUCGGUUACCCUGUCCCUCACCAAAGUAAUUGAAACAGCUUGAUAAUGGCAACUUCCAAUUGGGAAAGGUUAGGGUACCCUCAGAAUCGCAGUGGCAUCGCAGUAGCUGAAUAGCUAAAGAUCCGUCUGUUACACAGUUACACUGUAUGUAUGAUCGUGAUGAAUAAUAUGUAUUGGUUGUAACCAUAACCCAUGGGUGCAAAAGAACCAUGCAAAACAGUUCAACUCCAGU